CACUAAAACUUCUACAGCUUCAGAACACAAACCAAAAACAUUUAUUCAAUACAAAACAAGUUGGAGUUGUAGAAACAUCUCCAAAAAAAACAAAAUAAACAACUUCAGGUGACUAAAGAUGACUAAGAAAUUGAGGUCAAUGUUUACUUGGCGCAAGUCAAAACCCGAGCCAGCACCGGAAAUGACGCUGUGGAACUACGCCGAAAUGGUCGUAACUAUGGCACAGGAGCACCGCACCACUCUAGAGCUGGGAGCAACUCUUCUGUUUUCGAUGAUGUUGCUCCUUAUUUUAAUUAAGGUGUUUAUGCCCAGGCGAGCUCAACGUGCUCCUGCUCUUCCUGCUGUGCCGGAAGUCAACCAUCGACUGUUGACUGAUAAGCCACCAGAGCCUCCUUCACAGAUCGUAGCUCCCUACCAUCGAUACAACUUGAGAAGCACCGUAAAACGUCGAGCCCGUUUAAUUGAACAAUAGGAAAACCCAAAAUUUGAAUUGUAAUAAUAUUUUUUAUAUGGGUACCAAGACGCGAGCGACACAGACAUGAAUCCCAACGAGACCAUUGACAUGAUCCCGUUCCUACGCUUGCCUGGAAUCGGUAGUAUCAUUUUCCGUUAACUUUUGAAAGCGAUUUCUAAAUUGUCCGAAAAGCGUCCCAUUAUAUUUUGCAUUGGAUGAGGCUCAUUCCUUGAGGUCCUUCAGUUGCAGUAGCUACACCCCAAACCCCACUAAAAUCUGGAAAUAUUCAACAUGGUCAGCUGUGUCCUUUGUAUCGAAUCAAAUUUUAUUAAAUUUAAAUUAGUUUUUACAUUUAA